rnacentral:rRNA from 1 species
GGCUUGACCGGGCGGUCCGUCUUUGGCGAGUACUGUCUGUUGUCGGGUCUAUCCUUCUGGUGAGCCGGUAUGUCCUUAAUUGGGUGUGUCGGGGAACCAGGACCAUUACCUUGAAAAAAUUAGAGUGUUCAAAGCAGGCGUAUGCUCGAAUACAUUAGCAUGGAAUAAUGAAAUAGGACGCGUGGUGCUAUUUUGUUGGUUUCUAGAACCGCCGUA